rnacentral:rRNA from 1 species
UACAGAGUUCAUGCCCGAAAGGGUAGACCUCCCACCCUUGUGUAUUAUUACUUUGUUGCUUUGGCGAGCUGCCUUCGGGCCUUGUAUGCUCGCCAGAGAAUACCAAAACUCUUUUUAUUAAUGUCGUCUGAGUACUAUAUAAUAGUUAAAACUUUCAACAACGGAUCUCUUGGUUCUGGCAUCGAUGAAGAACGCAGCGAAAUGCGAUAAGUAAUGUGAAUUGCAGAAUUCAGUGAAUCAUCGAAUCUUUGAACGCACAUUGCGCCCCUUGGUAUUCCGGGGGGCAUGCCUGUUCGAGCGUCAUUUCAACCCUCAAGCUUAGCUUGGUAUUGAGUCUAUGUCAGUAAUGGCAGGCUCUAAAAUCAGUGGCGGCGCCGCUGGGUCCUGAACGUAGUAAUAUCUCUCGUUACAGGUUCUCGGUGUGCUUCUGCCAAAACCCAAAUUUUUCUAUGGUUGACCUCGGAUCAGGUAGGGAUACCCGCUGAACUUAAGCAUAUCAUAAGCCCGGAGGAA